rnacentral:rRNA from 1 species
GCGAACGCUGGCGGCAGGCCUAAUACAUGCAAGUCGAGCGGUCCCUUCGGGGGCAGCGGCGGACGGGUGAGUAACGCGUGGGAACGUGCCCUUUGGUACGGAACAACUGAGGGAAACUUCAGCUAAUACCGUAUGUGCCCUUCGGCGGAAAGAUUUAUCGCCAUUGGAGCGGCCCGCGUUAGAUUAGCUAGUUGGUAGGGUAAUGGCCUACCAAGGCGACGAUCUAUAGCUGGUCUGAGAGGAUGAUCAGCCACACUGGGACUGAGGCACGGCCCAGACUCCUACGGGAGGCAGCAGUAGGGAAUCUUGCGCAAUGGGCGAAAGCCUGACGCAGCCAUGCCGCGUGAAUGAUGAAGGUCUUAGGAUUGUAAAAUUCUUUCACCGGGGACGAUAAUGACGGUACCCGGAGAAGAAGCCCCGGCUAACUUCGUGCCAGCCGCCGCAGUAA